rnacentral:misc_RNA from 1 species
GAGCUGAACUUCCUGAAAAGCAGUAGUAGCAUUACUUCUGAGAGGAUAAUUGUGCUUGAAAAACAGCUGAGGAACUCUGAGCUUCAACUUCAGCACGCAGUUGCAUCUGCUGAAGCUAGUCAAGAGAAGCAAAUCAUGUUGAAUUCUACAAUCAAAGACAUGGAAGAUUUGAUUGAGGAUCUAAAAUCAAAGGUUUCUAAAGCAGAAAGUUUGAUGGAGAGUGCUGAAGAUAAGUGCAUUAUCUUGUCAGAAUCUAACUCAGAUCUUAAUGAAGAAUUAACUUUUGUGAGGGGUAGGUUGGCAUGUUUGGAGUCAUCGUUACGCCAAGCUGAG